rnacentral:rRNA from 1 species
GGAUAACCGCUGAAAGCAUCUAAGCGGGAAACCUCUUCCAAGACCAGGUUUCUCACCCUUUUAGAGGGAUAAGGCCCCCCGCAGACCACGGGAUCGAUAGACCAGACCUGCACACCCAGCAAUGGGUUUAGGGAACUGGCACUAACCGGCCGAAAACUUACACAC